rnacentral:rRNA from 1 species
CCUACGGGUGGCAGCAGUAGGGAAUCUUGCUCAAUGGAGGAAACUCUGACGCAGCAACGCCGCGUGGAGGAUGAAGGUUUUCGGAUCGUAAACCCCUUUUGUUAGAGAAGAUAAUGUCCGUGUCUAACUAUUAACGCCCGGCUAACUACGUGCCAGCAGCCGCGGUCAUACGUAGGGUGCAAGCGUUACUCGGAACGACUGGGGGUAAAGAGGGCGGGGGCGGGAUGGCAAGUCAGAUGUGAAAUCCUCUGGCUUAACCGUAGAGCUGCAUUUGAAACUGGUCUUCUAGAGUGUGGGAGAGGUAGGUGGAAUUCUAGGUGUAGGGGUAAAAUGCGUAGAGAUCAAGAGGAAUACUCGUGGCGAAGGCGACCUGCUAGAACGUAACUGACGCUGAGGCGCGAAAGCGUGGGGAGCAAACAGGAUUAGAUACCCUGGUAGUC